GAUGAACGCUGGCGGCGUGCCUAAUACAUGCAAGUCGAGCGAACGGACGAGAAGCUUGCUUCUCUGAUGUUAGCGGCGGACGGGUGAGUAACACGUGGAUAACCUACCUAUAAGACUGGGAUAACUUCGGGAAACCGGAGCUAAUACCGGAUAAUAUUUUGAACCGCAUGGUUCAAAAGUGAAAGACGGUCUUGCUGUCACUUAUAGAUGGAUCCGCGCUGCAUUAGCUAGUUGGUAAGGUAACGGCUUACCAAGGCAACGAUGCAUAGCCGACCUGAGAGGGUGAUCGGCCACACUGGAACUGAGACACGGUCCAGACUCCUACGGGAGGUAGCAGUAGGGAAUCUUCCGCAAUGGGCGAAAGCCUGACGGAGCAACGCCGCGUGAGUGAUGAAGGUCUUCGGAUCGUAAAACUCUGUUAUUAGGGAAGAACAUAUGUGUAAGUAACUGUGCACAUCUUGACGGUACCUAAUCAGAAAGCCACGGCUAACUACGUGCCAGCAGCCGCGGUAAUACGUAGGUGGCAAGCGUUAUCCGGAAUUAUUGGGCGUAAAGCGCGCGUAGGCGGUUUUUUAAGUCUGAUGUGAAAGCCCGCGGCUCAACCGUGGAGGGUCAUUGGAAACUGGAAAACUUGAGUGCAAAAGAGGAAAGUGGAAUUCCAUGUGUAGCGGUGAAAUGCGCAGAGAUAUGGAGGAACACCAGUGGCGAAGGCGACUUUCUGGUCUGUAACUGACGCUGAUGUGCGAAAGCGUGGGGAUCAAACAGGAUUAGAUACCCUGGUAGUCCACGCCGUAAACGAUGAGUGCUAAGUGUUAGGGGGUUUCCGCCCCUUAGUGCUGCAGCUAACGCAUUAAGCACUCCGCCUGGGGAGUACGACCGCAAGGUUGAAACUCAAAGGAAUUGACGGGGACCCGCACAAGCGGUGGAGCAUGUGGUUUAAUUCGAAGCAACGCGAAGAACCUUACCAAAUCUUGACAUCCUUUGACAACUCUAGAGAUAGAGCUUUCCCCUUCGGGGGACAAAGUGACAGGUGGUGCAUGGUUGUCGUCAGCUCGUGUCGUGAGAUGUUGGGUUAAGUCCCGCAACGAGCGCAACCCUUAAGCUUAGUUGCCAUCAUUAAGUUGGGCACUCUAAGUUGACUGCCGGUGACAAACCGGAGGAAGGUGGGGAUGACGUCAAAUCAUCAUGCCCCUUAUGAUUUGGGCUACACACGUGCUACAAUGGACAAUACAAAGGGCAGCGAAACCGUGAGGUCAAGCAAAUCCCAUAAAGUUGUUCUCAGUUCGGAUUGUAGUCUGCAACUCGACUACAUGAAGCUGGAAUCGCUAGUAAUCGUAGAUCAGCAUGCUACGGUGAAUACGUUCCCGGGUCU
rnacentral:rRNA from 1 species